UCGAGAAUCAUUCGCAAUGGGCGAAAGCCUGACGAUGCGACGCCGUGUGGACGAUGAAGGCCUUAGGGUUGUAAAGUCCUUUCGCCUGGGAACAAGAGAGGUCGGCUAAUAACCGGCCAAUUUGAGGGUACCAGGUAAAGAAGCACCGGCUAACUCCGUGCCAGCAGCUGCGGUAAUACGGAGGGUGCAAGCAUUAAUCGGAUUUAUUGGGCGUAAAGGGCGCGUAGGCGGACAAGAAAGUCAGAUGUGAAAUACCGGGGCUCACCCCCGGAACGGCAUUUGAAACUUCUUAUCUAGAGGGUAGGCGGAGAAAACGGAAUUCCACGUGUAGCGGUGAAAUGCGUAGAUAUGUGGAAGAACACCGGUGGCGAAGGCGGUUUUCUAGCUUAUUCCUGACGCUGAGGCGCGAAAGCAAGGGGAGCAAACAGGAUUAGAUACCCCGGUAGUCC
rnacentral:rRNA from 1 species